GGAGGUCAAAAGAGAAAGCUGGGAGUGACCAGGUUCACUUUUCGCAACGCCAAAGUCUCCGGGAGCCUCGCUCGGGCCGUCGAAGGUCUCGUGGCCCAACAAAACAUAUCGGGACGCUAGUUAUUUGGAAUAAAUGCAAUUUAUUGUCGUUAUACACGCUGGACAGUGAGCUAGGAGAGCUUCGCGUUCAAGCAGUGGUCCCCAACCACUGAUGUAAAAAAAAAAAAAAAAAAAAAAAAAAAGACUGGAUGGCUCAUUGGCCACCACCGAAAGUGAAGUCGCCAUCCGCCAUCUUGCUACUCCCAAAACAAGCGUGCCGACCUGCGCGUUAAUCGCCAGUUUUGUGGCUGCGAGAAAACGUUCCACAGAUGAGUGUCCGGGACCGGUCCAUGGAUCAAUUGGUACCGGGCUGCAAAAUAACUAAUCAAUUAGUUGCGUUGCAAGUCUGAAAAAUCUUUUAUUUUGAAAAAUGACCGGGUUCUCCUGCUUACAUCUCGGUGACUUCAGAGGCAAAUGCGUAAGAAAUAUGUCUUUGGAAAGUUUCUUUUGAAGGGGAAAAGGUUCAGUGAACACACAAAAGAAGAGCCUACAACUUCCAAGAAAAGAAAGUUAUUAACAACAAUCAAAGCACACACGGAAAGAAGAAGUUAUCCAGAAGGAAAUCGCUCGCAAGAGUCUUUGAAUUCUGCAAAGAUUUCUCGCAGAAAAGAAGUCCCCCCCCCCGCCCCCCCCCCGGCAGCACGUUCAUCCUCUCAGCUGGAGCGCGAUCACCUGUCUUUGCUAUAAAAGAGUUCGAGCGGUACUUCCCAACCCAAAAACCUGCCAAGAAAUGCAUCCGUGACCCGUUUGUCGACAAACCAGCUGAAUCCAGCACGUCUGUGCGACAAGAAGAUCGACUGGGACCAUCUCGUUGCAGAGAAACCAGCUCAGGUGUUUGCAGUAUGACCCAGUCAUGGCACUGGCAGCGCGGCCCAUAGAAUUUUCCUGGAUCCGACGCCUGGCACGCGCACACGCCGCAGUCGCACUUGCCCCUCCCGCUGCAGAUGUUGCCGUCGGGCGUCCGGCACCGACGCAGCGAC